CCUCCUCCGCCUCCGCCUCCCGCUCCGGCUCGCUCGGGCUCCGGCGCCGGCGCCGGCUCCGGCUCCUCUCGGCCGCCCGCCCGCCCGGGGCCAAGGCGACGCGAGGUUGUAAAAAUCCAUGUGGGACGGCCCCGGGGCGAGCAUCGCAAAGAUUUAUGAUUGGUGUAAUUUUCUGGUGUAGACUUAAGAGAACAUAGUGAAAAUUUCGGCCAGCAGUGGAUCAGCCAACAGUGGAAAUACUGACUGAAUCUCCAACUGAAUAUAUAAUUUCUUCUCUUUGAUAGUACCUCAUAAAACAAGAAAGAUGUAUGGAAGUGCAAGAACAAUCACGAAUCUGGAAGGGAGUCCUUCCAGAUCUCCUCGUUUGCCAAGGUCUCCUCGUUUGGGUCACCGACGAACAAGUAGUGGGGGAGGUGGAGGAACAGGCAAGACUCUGUCCAUGGAAAACAUCCAGUCCCUUAAUGCAGCCUAUGCUACAUCUGGACCCAUGUACCUGAGUGACCAUGAGGGGGUGGCUUCAACGACUUAUCCAAAAGGCACCAUGACUCUGGGCAGGGCAACAAAUCGAGCAGUAUAUGGAGGCCGAGUGACAGCCAUGGGGAGUAGUCCUAAUAUUGCGUCAGCUGGACUUUCCCAUACAGAUGUUCUUUCAUACACGGACCAACAUGGUGGUCUGACCAGUUCAUCCCAUCAUCACCACCACCAGGUGCCCUCCAUGUUGAGGCAGGUAAGAGAUAGCACGAUGCUAGACCUUCAAGCCCAGCUCAAGGAACUUCAGAGAGAGAAUGACCUCCUUCGGAAAGAGUUAGACAUCAAAGACAGCAAGUUGGGAUCUUCCAUGAACAGCAUCAAGACCUUCUGGAGUCCCGAGCUCAAGAAGGAGAGAGUCUUGAGGAAAGAAGAAGCAGCCCGAAUGUCUGUCCUCAAAGAGCAGAUGAGGGUUUCCCAUGAAGAAAAUCAGUUACUGGAUGCCAGAAGAACCAAGCACCUUCAGUUGACAAUCCAGGCCCUCCAGGAUGAGCUGCGAACCCAGAGAGACCUCAACCACCUGUUGCAGCAAGAGAGUGGGAACCGGGGAGCUGAGCACUUCACCAUUGAGCUCACUGAGGAGAACUUCCGGAGGCUCCAGGCUGAGCAUGACAGACAGGCAAAAGAGCUAUUCCUGCUGAGGAAGACUCUGGAGGAAAUGGAGCUGAGAAUAGAAACCCAGAAACAGACCCUCAAUGCCAGAGAUGAGUCGAUUAAAAAGCUUCUUGAGAUGUUACAAAGCAAAGGUUUGCCGUCCAAAAGCCUAGAGGAUGACAGUGAGCGCACGAGGCGGAUGGCAGAAGCCGAGUCUCAGGUCAGCCACUUAGAAGUGAUUUUAGAUCAGAAGGAGAAGGAAAACAUACAUCUCAGAGAGGAAUUGCACCGAAGAAGCCAACUUCAGCCGGAGCCAGCCAAGACGAAGGCUCUCCAGACUGUCAUAGAAAUGAAGGACACAAAAAUUGCUUCAUUGGAGCGAAACAUAAGGGAUCUUGAGGAUGAGAUCCAGAUGUUAAAAGCCAAUGGUGUGCUAAACACUGAGGACCGCGAAGAAGAGAUCAAACAAAUAGAGGUUUACAAAAGUCACUCCAAGUUCAUGAAAACCAAGAUUGAUCAGCUGAAACAGGAACUUUCAAAGAAGGAGUCAGAACUUCUUGCCUUACAAACAAAGCUUGAAACUCUUAGCAAUCAAAAUUCAGAUUGCAAGCAACACAUUGAAGUGCUUAAAGAGUCACUUACUGCCAAAGAACAGAGAGCUGCCAUUCUUCAGACAGAGGUAGAUGCGUUGAGAUUACGACUGGAAGAAAAAGAAUCUUUUCUCAACAAAAAAACGAAACAGCUACAGGACCUAACAGAAGAGAAGGGAACACUGGCUGGAGAGAUUCGAGAUAUGAAAGAUAUGUUAGAAGUAAAGGAGAGAAAAAUCAAUGUUCUCCAGAAAAAGAUUGAAAACUUGCAAGAACAACUUAGGGACAAAGACAAGCAACUGACCAAUCUAAAGGACAGAGUGAAGAGUUUGCAGACAGAUUCCAGUAAUACUGACACGGCACUGGCGACUCUGGAGGAGGCUCUGUCUGAGAAGGAGAGAAUAAUUGAGCGUUUGAAAGAACAGCGAGAGAGAGAUGACCGGGAAAGGCUAGAAGAGAUAGAAUCCUUCCGAAAAGAGAACAAAGACCUUAAAGAAAAGGUCAAUGCUUUACAAGCUGAACUGACUGAGAAAGAGUCUAGUUUAAUUGACCUCAAAGAACAUGCAUCUUCAUUAGCCUCUGCAGGGCUGAAAAGGGACUCCAAAUUAAAAUCUCUAGAAAUAGCCAUCGAACAAAAGAAAGAAGAAUGUAGCAAAUUGGAAGCACAGUUAAAAAAGCAAGCUGAGCAGUUGUUCAAUCAGAUGUACAAUCCAGCUCAUAAUAUUGAAGAUGACUCCAGGAUGAAUCCCGAGUUUGCAGACCGAAUAAAACAGCUCGAUAAAGAGGCGUCUUACUACCGUGAUGAGUGUGGCAAGGCCCAAGCAGAGGUCGACAGGUUGCUAGAGAUCCUCAAGGAGGUGGAGAAUGAAAAGAAUGACAAGGACAAGAAGAUUGCAGAACUUGAGAGGCAUAUGAAAGAUCAGAAUAAGAAGGUGGCCAACCUCAAGCACAACCAACAAUUAGAAAAGAAGAAGAAUGCACAGUUGUUGGAAGAAGUUCGCAGGCGAGAAGACAGCAUGGCUGACAACUCACAGCACUUGCAGAUAGAGGAGCUGAUGAAUGUACUGGAGAAGACCAGACAGGAACUGGACGCCACUAAAGCACGCCUCGCCUCCACACAACAGUCUCUGGCUGAAAAAGAAGCACAUUUGGCCAACCUCCGGAUAGAAAGAAGGAAACAGCUGGAAGAGAUCCUGGAGAUGAAACAGGAAGCUCUGCUUGCAGCAAUCAGUGAAAAAGACGCAAACAUUGCCUUGUUGGAAUUGUCUGCCUCCAAAAAGAAAAAGACACAGGAUGAAGUCAUGGCCCUCAAGCGGGAAAAAGAUCGUCUAGUGCAUCAGUUGAAACAGCAGACCCAGAACAGAAUGAAGCUGAUGGCAGACAACUAUGAUGAGGACCACCAUCACUACCACCACCACCACCAUCACCACCACCACCGAUCUCCUGGGAGGUCGCAACAUUCCAAUCUUAGGCCCUCUCCUGACCAGGAUGACGAUGAGGGCAUAUGGGCAUAGCCUGGCCUGUAAACCAAAGUUCCAGUUUUGUUUUGAGGGAUGAUCCAGCUCUGUCGGAGGCACGGAGGCACAGUCAAAUCUCAUGCUGUACAUUGAUCACCUGUCCAACCUUUGCCUAGAGUGGGAGCCCCCAGUUCCUUCAAGAGAUCCAACUUUACCUGUCUGUAAAGAAGAAGAGGAGGAGGGAGACAGCAGGGAGGAUCCAGUGGCAGUUUAACAUCAGAGCAGCUAUCAGAAGGGCUGAAUAAAGAGAAAAUGCAGCUCUGCAGCAAUAUUCUGAUAAUCUAUUGCAGUGCGGCUCACAUCACUGUCCAUCACCACAUGGAAUGGCUCAUCAGGACUGAAGAGGAGUUUUCACUUUCAU